rnacentral:rRNA from 1 species
GACGAACGCUGGCGGCGUGCUUAAUACAUGCAAGUCGAGCGGUAAGGCUCCUUCGGGAGUACACGAGCGGCGAACGGGUGAGUAACACGUGAGCAAUCUGCCCUUCUCAUCGGAAUAACCAUUGGAAACGAUGGCUAAUGCCGAAUACGACUUCCUUUCGCAUGUCAGGAAGUGGAAAGCUCCGGCGGAGAAGGAUGAGCUCGCGGCCUAUCAGCUUGUUGGUGAGGUAAUGGCUCACCAAGGCGACGACGGGUAGCCGGCCUGGGAGGGUGACCGGCCACACUGGGACUGAGACACGGCCCAGACUCCUACGGGAGGCAGCAGUGGGGAAUAUUGGACAAUGGGCGAAAGCCUGAUCCAGCAACGCCGCGUGAGGGAUGACGGCCUUCGGGUUGUAAACCUCUUUCAGCAGGGACGAAGCGAAAGUGACGGUACCUGCAGAAGAAGGACCGGCCGACUACGUGCCAGCAGCCGCCGUAA